rnacentral:rRNA from 1 species
GACGAACGCUGGCGGCGUGCCUAAUACAUGCAAGUAGAACGCUGAAGAGAGGAGCUUGCUCUUCUUGGAUGAGUUGCGAACGGGUGAGUAACGCGUAGGUAACCUGCCUGGUAGCGGGGGAUAACUAUUGGAAACGAUAGCUAAUACCGCAUAAAAUGGAUUAUCGCAUGAUAAUCCAUUGAAAGGUGCAAAUGCAUCACUACCAGAUGGACCUGCGUUGUAUUAGCUAGUUGGUGGGGUAACGGCUCACCAAGGCGACGAUACAUAGCCGACCUGAGAGGGUGAUCGGCCACACUGGGACUGAGACACGGCCCAGACUCCUACGGGAGGCAGCAGUAGGGAAUCUUCGGCAAUGGACGGAAGUCUGACCGAGCAACGCCGCGUGAGUGAAGAAGGUUUUCGGAUCGUAAAGCUCUGUUGUAAGAGAAGAACGAGUGUGAGAGUGGAAAGUUCACACUGUGACG